CCAGUGCUACACUGAGAAAUCCUGUCUCAAAUAACCAAAAAAGAAAAAAAAGUAAGUCAUUUUGAAAUAGCAGGAAAAUACUGGAAGUUAUAAAUAGAGGUUUUUACAUCUGCUAUGUUAGUUCUCACAACUAUCUAUGAAGUAUAUAUUAUCAUGAUCUCUAGUUUAUACAGGACACACAAAUAGAGAUGAUAUAUAAUUCCCCUAACUCUACAAAUUGAGUGUUCUCCCACAAUCUGUUCUCUUUAUAUGAUCAUAUUGCUUUUGCAAACAUGUAACAUGAAAAAUUUAAACUACAGUCAUUUUAAAAGGAAAACCAAAUAUUCGUCCAAUUUGGAAAAGUCUAUUAUAAUACACUUCAGUUGUUCUAUUUUGUAUAAGUCAAGAGCAGUGACUGGAAAAAACACAGCAAUUAAACAUGCAUUUUUGAAUAUAUGACCAUAUUUAACUUACAAAGUUGUAUAUGCAGUAAGUACUAUCUUUUGCACAUUUUAAGCAGAAAAUAACUGAAAGUCUGAGGCUACUGUCACUACCCAUCAGUGUCUACACACUCCUUUUCUAGACUGUCCUGUCAAUGCCUUUCUCCUCCAUUGGAGUUCUUUUCCUUCUGUCUAGUGAAAAUCCAACUAAGCCUUCUAAACCCAGAUGAGAUACUAUCUGCUUAGAUACAGCAUUUCUAGCACUUCAAGGCAAAAUUAACACUCAUUUUUCCACCAGCACGCAGGUUAUUUAUUGUCUUUGUCAUCUGCUGUAUGUAUCUCACCUAGAUGAUACUGGGCUUGUGAUGUCAGGGGCUGUAAUAAAGGAGAAACGGUCCCGAAGGUUCUACAGCUUUAGUCAGUAAAAGGGCACAACAGUAACCAGCAUUUUGACUAAGGGAUGCCUAGGAGUCAUGCUGACAUGCUAUCAUUUUUAAAACAAACAUUUGUCCUCAUGUGAAUGACCCCAAAUGUUUCUGGCAAUGUUCCCUGCACAAAAUGUGAAAAGUGCCCAUGAAGGUUUGAGGUGAUGGAUCCCCCCUGCAACAGGAACCUGGGAGUUACAGGUGGUUAUAAGGUAAGUUCUCUUCGAGAGUAGUACAGGUUCUUGGCUGCUGACCCAUCUUUCCAGCUCCACUCUCUGUACUAGAGUAUACAUAGAAUUUUGUUCUUUCAAUAGGGAAAAUAAUUCAAGGGGCACCAGUAGUACUUCUGUGGUAAUUUAGUGGCCCAUGAUUCUCAGCCAGGCAGUUUUGUUUUCAUCUUUUCCUCUGAAACAUAUGGCUUUAGACCUAUUUUCUAUUAUUACAGGCAAACAAGAAGGAUUUACUUGUUUGAUUAAGCUCUGUAGUGAAGGUUCUACCUGAGUUAUGAGCAAGUCCUGUGGUGGGCAGGAGGAACCAGUACAACAAUGAGCAUAGAACCACAAGUUCACUGUUCAAGUUCUGGCUAUGUGACUCUGGACAAUAUAGGAAUGUUGUGGGAUACAUGUACACUGUGAAGAUGUAUUCCUGUGAUUGGCGUAAUAAAAAGCUGAACAGCCAAUAGCUAGGCAGGAGACUUCUGGGACUUCCAGGCAGAGAGAGAACACUGGAAAGAAGACAGAGUCACCAGCCAGAUGGAGAAGGAGGAUGAGUACAGAAUAAAGGGGCCUCCCUCUUCAUUUUUCACUUAGGACCUAUCACCACCUAGUGGACUGAGUAGGAAUACACCAAUGCAUCACCACAGUGGCUCACCACUUCCGUUUCAGAACAAACCGCUCGAUGGAGUCUUCAGAAUCGGAGAAGAGCUCCUGUAUCUAAAAAACGCAGUUGGAUAAUUUGUAACCACACAAAAUACAAAUAUUUAUACAAAUAACAGAUGCCAUGUACUCAAGAUAAUGCAUUGAUUAAAGAAAAACAAAAAUCUUUUGUAGGAAGCAUGGCACUGGCGUUACAAUAAGCUUUGGCUCCCAAAGAUUAACCUAACAAAAUGAAUUUACCAAGCUUAAUUCAACAAGAUAUAAAAUUUAUAAUGCCUCAAUGACUACAUGAAAUAUUUCCCCCAAGGUUAUAUGACUCAUUCAAUUUUCAAACUUCAAACCACAUCAACAAAGCAUACAUCAAGAUGCAUAAAUUGUAUUAAAACACUUGGAUAUUGUUCAUAAUAAAAGUCCUACAAGCUGGACGGUGGUGGUGCAUGCCUUUAAUUCCAACAUUCAGGAGGCAGAGACGGGUGGACCUGAGUUCGAGGCCA